CUUCCCUCCAUAGUAAUAGUAUUACUUACCUCCUGUGCCAUGUUAGAUGAUAUAAUUUACCCCAUUUCCACUUCUCUUGGGACACUAAUAUAUUGCUGGGGGGGUUGCAAACUGAUCCAACCAUUCUGCAGGGCAAUUUGGAAUUAUGCCCAGUAAUACCACUACUAGGUCAGAAAUCCAAAGAGACUUAAAAAAAUGGGAAAGGACAUGGUUGUACAAAAAUAGUUAAAGCUGCCCUUUUUGUGGUGGCAAAGAAAUGGAAACUAAAGGGACAGCCCUCAAUUUGGGAAUGGCUGAACAAAUUGUGGCAUAAGAUGGUGACAGAAUACUAUUGUGCUCUGACAUUAACAGGAUGAUCUCAGAAAGAGUUGUAAAGACCUACAUUAAUUGAUGCACUGAAAUGAACAGAACCAGGAAAACAUUAUAAACAGUAACAGCAGUAGUGUGGAAUGAUCAAAUUUGAUAGACUUAGCUGCUCUCAGUGAUACAAUGAUUCAGACAGCAUUUUAGAUAGGUAGCCACAAACACAGAAAAGAUGUAGGAUGACAGGGGAUGGAAGAAAUAAGUCAGGGGGUUUUGAGGAUAAGCCUGAAAUAUGUUUCUUUGCAGGCAGUAGGGAAGGAGUCAGCAGACAGAGACUGAGAAUAAGUCAGAGUGUGGGGACAGAUUCCAGUUCCAUUGCCAUGUGGACCAUUUCAACUAUUUCAGGUCCUGAGCUCUGUGGCUCUCAGGCUCAGAUAAGGUCAGGAGUUGAAUCAAAGGGAUGUUAAUAGUAGAAAUUUCUGGGGCAACAAGGAAGGUGUUGGGUUCUUAUGACUUCAACAGGAGCUCCUAUUUCCAAGUUAAAGAAAUCCAGGGUACACCUGCCCAUACCUGCUCAACCUAGGUAACCUCCUUUUCAAUUUCAAAGAUUUUUAUUAGUCUUUGACAUAUCCUCAUUUGCUAACAUAUGUAGGCAGAAAGUGAUGUUGAAUGCAAAUAUUCCAUAACCUUGGGAAAGGGUUCAAGCCUCUUAUUCCUCAUCACUUAUUUUAUUGUCCUUUCAGGAUUCAUCAGGAAUCCAGAUUCUAUCUAGGCUAACUGUCUUUCUACUG
rnacentral:lncRNA from 1 species